rnacentral:lncRNA from 1 species
UGGAGCCGGGACCUGCCAGGGAGGGCCGCCCUGGGGGCCGCGAGGCUCUCCCCAACCUGCCCCUUCUUCUUAGUUCUUGGGGGUGCUGCUGACGCUUCUGUACAUCACCCGCGUGGAGGACAUCAUCAUGGAGCAUUCUGUCACCGACGGACUUCUGGGCCCGGACGCCAAGCUCAGCGCGGACACAGCAGGCACAGGCUGCUGCUUGUGCUACCCCAAUUAGGGCCGGGGCCUGGACACCAACUCCAGCAGGACCUGGCUGGGUGGCACCUCUCAGUCCACUUUAGGGGCUGGACAGGCUGCACCACGGCCCUGUGCCCGGGUGGAGUGCCCCUGUGGGCGGCAUCUCCACGGCCACACACUCUGGGUUCCGUGCCCACCCUGCCAGGAGAGAGAACGUGGCGUCCCUGCUCUGGGUCUGGGCCAUGAGGGAAAGAGGAACUUGGGGCUCAGCUUGGGGCCCACUUUAUUUCCGGCGGUGCCCUGGGCUUGUGGUCAGUAGGCCCCCCUUCAAGGGCAGUUUUGCUGUGAUUUGUCAGUUUGGGGAGACAGUGGCAGGAGGGGCAGGGGGUAGCCCUCCCACGCCCCAGAUCAGGUCGGGCCAUUUCUCAGCCUCCGUAGGUGCCUUCAGCCCUCUGCAAGGGCAGCUGUUUUGCUGACCUGUUUUCAUGUUCUGUGCAGAGCCGGGCAUUUUCCCGCUUUGGCUCCAAGUCAGUUCAUUAAUCAAACAAUAAAGACAAGAUUUUUUUUUUUU